rnacentral:rRNA from 1 species
GGGUCAGUAGGUUGGUCGUGCCACCGGUACGUACUGGUCUCACUGAUUCCUCCUUCCUGAAGAACCGUAAUGCCAUUAAUUUGGUGUUGCGGGGAAACAGGACUGUUACUUUGAAAAAAUUAGAGUGUUUAAAGCAAACUAACGCUUGAAUACAUUAGCAUGGAAUAAUGAAAUAGGACGAUCGAUCCUAUUUUGUUGGUUUCUAGGAUUGACGUAAUGUUAAUAGGGAUAGUUGGG